UUUUGGUUGGCAAUUGUGAUUUUAUUUCAAGUGUGCAUCUCUCUUCUUCCAAUCAUUUGUAUCCUCUUGGAAAAUCAUAAACUAUGGUAGAUUUUGGUCCUGAAUCACAGCCUGAUUAGAUGAACAUAAGAUGCUUUUAGAGUAUGGAUCACUUAUUAUUAGAAUCAUUGGAAAUCACUGCAAACGAGUCUAGUUUUGUUUCUUAUAAGUAACUUCAAGUUAGAAUCGUUUGCAAAUGAUUUGUAAAAAAUAACCUAUAUAAUAGAUCCAAGACACAUACAUAUUAGAAUAAUUUAAAGAAGUUUUAGCAGCCACAAUGCUCUUCUCUAGGAUUGUGUGUGAUGCAACCUCAAUCCAAGGUGCAACUGACAGCGUGGAAAAUUUUCCACUUUUAGAUAUUCUGGAAGGUGGUUUGAAGUUACUUCACUUAAACGUGGAUUUACUGGACAAGGUUUGGAACAACUACUACUGCACCUAGGUAAAUGCAAAGGGCAUUUAUUGUCGUGAAUUGUGACUUCUAAUAUUGAUAUCUUGCGAGCAUGAUAUGGAGAGGCAUUGUGUUGGGAGAACUAUUGGGUCCAAAUUUAAUGGACUGUGCUGUUAUACUGGGGAGAAGUUAGAUUUUUCUGUAUUGUUGGACUUAACUGCAGAUCCAAAAUGUUUAGCACGACCGUCAAUGGUUCCUGCUUGUCUAAUAGAGAUAGCCCUUCAAGUUGCGAUCCAAGUCAUUCUGAAAGCAACAUCUUUCAUGUUAUGCUUUCACGUAUCAUUGCUUGUAAAUAAUAGGUUUUUUUAAUAUUUAUUUUUAAAUUUAUAAAUCUUAACCACCUAUUUCUGACUGCAGAGGUAUUUCAACUUAUCAAAUUGCAGGGUGUAUAUACAUAUGAUAUGGUGACACCAUCCAUCCAGGUUGAUACCUUCUGUGUUAAUGGGGGUCCUGACGGGAUAUAUUAGUGGCAUAAGGGGAAAGGUUGAAUGCCUUUCAGAGGAAGAUUUGGGGGAAAAAUGAGACAGAGCUAGUAAAGCAGGAGAUGAUCAAAGAGAAGUGUUACCAUUUAUUCCUAAGGAGCCAUAUGAUGUGAUUGCAAGUGUUACCAUUUCUACAGAUUUGCUCGAGAAUUCCUUAUCCUGGUCCUGAAAACACAGAGAGGUACAAAUCUUACUUGGUGGAAUUUGGACAUGUGGUCCAAACAGAAUCAUUGGCACCCUAUAAGGUCGGAUAGUCGGCUAACUGCAAUGAUGCUAAUGUUUGGAAUGUGGAAGGCUUGACAAAUGAAUUUUCUAAUCUAGAACUGAGACUUGGAGUAUAACACCUUGCUAGUUUCUUUGCAGAAGAAGCUAUUAUUGAGCUUGUUCCAUAGCGUGUUAGUUAUGUGCAAUUUAAACCAACCCCUUUGUUCUAAUCUCAACAAUUUAGCCCAGAGAGUUUAAAUUGGACUGCUCCUUGUGUUUAUUAUAUUGAUCCAUCAUAUGCGCGAUGCAUGGAUGGUGUGGUGGAAGUAUUAUGGAGAAUUUUUCAGUUCCUAUAUGAUUGCUAUUGAGAGAGUUGCGGAAUCUGAGUUGCAGAGAGCGGAUUGGCUCCUCCCUUUUUGCA